AGGUCACUUUCACAGAAGAGCAGCACAAUCAUGGAGUGUGGACUAUGUGCACUGGCAGCUUGCCCAGCAACAAAACCAAAAUAUUAAUUGGGAAGCAGAAAUGCAGGCCGUAGAAACUCCUCUCCUGAAUGUUUUAUGAAAAAUGUUAUGCCAGGACGACUGAGCAAGGCUGCACUGAAACCAAGUCCCAGCUGACAUGUGAAUAAUCUCCACCCUGAACAAUUUGGAGCUGCAGUGAAAGUGUUGUCUGAUAACAGAUGGAAUUACCAGAUGACAUUGGAUCACUAGAUCUAGAAUUUUAGGAGUGAUAUGAGGGAGCCUAGAGCAACACCAGCCCGUCAUGGAUGCAG